GCCUUCUUAGCUCAGUGGUAGAGCGUUGCACUUGUACUCAGGUAAUGGGGUGCAUGCAAAGGUCAGUCGUUCAAUCCGGCUAGGAGGCA